rnacentral:rRNA from 1 species
AUUGAACGCUGGCGGCAGGCCUAACACAUGCAAGUCGAGCGGAUGAAGGGAGCUUGCUCCUCGAUUCAGCGGCGGACGGGCGAGUAAUGCCUAGGAAUCUGCCUGGUAGUGGGGGAUAACGUCCGUAAACGGGCGCUAAUCUCGCAUACGUCCUGAGGUAGAAAGUGGGGGAUCUUCGGACCUCACGCUAUCAGAUGAGCCUAGGUCGGAUUAGCUAGUUGGUGGGGUAAAGGCCUACCGAGGCGACGAUCCGUAACUGGUCUGAGAGGAUGAUCAGUCACACUGGAACUGAGACACGGUCCAGACUCCUAUGGGAGGCAGCAGUGGGGAAUAUUGGACAAUGGGCGAAAGCCUGAUCCAGCCAUGCCGCGUGUGUGAAGAAGGUCUUCGGAUUGUAAAGCACUUUAAGUUGGGAGGAAGGGCAGUAAGUUAAUACCUUGCUGUUUUGACGUUACCAACAGAAUAAGCACCGGCUAACUUCGUG